rnacentral:piRNA from 1 species
UAGGUUCCUCCCAAUUCCUAUGGGAUCCUGA